rnacentral:rRNA from 1 species
GUGCCUAAUACAUGCAAGUCGAGCGAACAGAUAAGGAGCUUGCUCCUUUGACGUUAGCGGCGGACGGGUGAGUAACACGUGGGUAACCUACCUAUAAGACUGGGAUAACUUCGGGAAACCGGAGCUAAUACCGGAUAACAUUUGGAACCGCAUGGUUCUAAAGUGAAAGAUGGUUUUGCUAUCACUUAUAGAUGGACCCGCGCCGUAUUAGCUAGUUGGUAAGGUAACGGCUUACCAAGGCGACGAUACGUAGCCGACCUGAGAGGGUGAUCGGCCACACUGGAACUGAGACACGGUCCAGACUCCUACGGGAGGCAGCAGUAGGGAAUCUUCCGCAAUGGGCGAAAGCCUGACGGAGCAACGCCGCGUGAGUGAUGAAGGGUUUCGGCUCGUAAAACUCUGUUAUUAGGGAAGAACAAAUGUGUAAGUAACUGUGCACGUCUUGACGGUACCUAAUCAGAAAGCCACGGCUAACUACGUGCCAGCAGCCGCGGUAAUACGUAGGUGGCAAGCGUUAUCCGGAAUUAUUGGGCGUAAAGCGCGCGUAGGCGGUUUCUUAAGUCUGAUGUGAAAGCCCACGGCUCAACCGUGGAGGGUCAUUGGAAACUGGGAAACUUGAGUGCAGAAGAGGAAAGUGGAAUUCCAUGUGUAGCGGUGAAAUGCGCAGAGAUAUGGAGGAACACCAGUGGCGAAGGCGACUUUCUGGUCUGUAACUGACGCUGAUGUGCGAAAGCGUGGGGAUCAAACAGGAUUAGAUACCCUGGUAGUCCACGCCGUAAACGAUGAGUGCUAAGUGUUAGGGGGUUUCCGCCCCUUAGUGCUGCAGCUAACGCAUUAAGCACUCCGCCUGGGGAGUACGACCGCAAGGUUGAAACUCAAAGGAAUUGACGGGGACCCGCACAAGCGGUGGAGCAUGUGGUUUAAUUCGAAGCAACGCGAAGAACCUUACCAAAUCUUGACAUCCUUUGAAAACUCUAGAGAUAGAGCCUUCCCCUUCGGGGGACAAAGUGACAGGUGGUGCAUGGUUGUCGUCAGCUCGUGUCGUGAGAUGUUGGGUUAAGUCCCGCAACGAGCGCAACCCUUAAGCUUAGUUGCCAUCAUUAAGUUGGGCACUCUAGGUUGACUGCCGGUGACAAACCGGAGGAAAGGUGGGGAUGACGUCAAAUCAUCAUGCCCCUUAUGAUUUGGGCUACACACGUGCUACAAUGGACAAUACAAAGGGCAGCUAAACCGCGAGGUCAUGCAAAUCCCAUAAAGUUGUUCUCAGUUCGGAUUGUAGUCUGCAACUCGACUACAUGAAGCUGGAAUCGCUAGUAAUCGUAGAUCAGCAUGCUACGGUGAAUACGUUCCCGGGUCUUGUACACACCGCCCGUCACACCACGAGAGUUUGUAACACCCGAAGCCGGUGGAGUAACCAUUUAUGGAGCUAGCCGUCGAAGGUGG